AUGGCUGAUAUUCUGCUUUGUCUUGUUGUUUUCCUGAAACAUGCUCUAGUGAGGGAAAGUCGAAGCUCUAUAGGGGCUAUCCUAAGCUGCCGUUCGAUGAUGAAUAAGGUGUCAAACGGCACUCUUGUGAAGCUCUACAUGGUUGUAUACUUGUUUUCUGAAAGUGAAGAGGCCCUGAGAGAUGAUCAUGACCAUGAUGCUUUCACUGUUACUAUUAGAGAAGGUGAAGAUGAUGCAGAUGGCAAUAUCAACUAUCAAGGACAUAUCAUUGACAAGGUUUUUCUGUGGCGGCUAGAAAAAACAGGAGAAUACAUCAAUGAGGAUAUCUCAUGGGAAGAGAUAGGGUCUGGUUUGUCCGAAUGGGAUGGGGAAGUCCACCCUCCCGAAGCUUCUUGCUUGGAGGAAGAUUCCAGUACCAAAAAACAUCGACGUUCUUCUAGUUGAAUAAGAGUUGGUUGGUGAUAAUACAAGUGCUCUAGAAGCAGUUUGGGCCAAUGAAGAACUCGUUAAGCUCCGGGAAGAGGUUGCAGCAUUACAGACUUCAGAGAAAGAGUGUGAUGAUGAUGAAGAAUUGAUGAUGCAGGAGAGAAGCUCGCUGAGUUGUACGAUCAGUUGCAGCUGAUGGGAUCGGAUGCUGCUGAAGCGGAGCUUCGAAGAUUCUUGUCGGUUUGGGGUUUACAUAGGAUAUGCAAGUCAUUCAGUGGUGGUUGGAGAAUGAGAAUCUCAUUAGCUAGGGCACUUUUUGUGCAACCAACUCUGUUGUUGCUUGAUGAACAAACAAUUGAACAAACCAUCUCCACUUGAAGCUGUUCUUUGGUUAGAGGAGUACUUGUGCCGCUGGAAGAAAAACUUUGGUGGUUGUCUCACAUGAUUGUAAUUUCCUUUAACACAGUGUGCACUGAGAUUAUUCAACUGCAUGAUCUGAAGCUCCACCCCUACCUUGGAAACUUUGAUGUUUUUGAAAGAGAGUAUGAGGAACGCCGUAAGGAGGUAAGCAAAGAGGCUGAAAAAUAUGUUAAGGAGGAGAACAUAGCAAAAAGGAGUGGAAUUACAGUGUGGAGUUUCACUUUCCUGAACCUACUGAGCUUACACCCUCCACUCUUGCAACUUAUUGAUGUCAGCUUCAGUUAUCCGAACCGGGAAGAUUUCAGGCUGUCUGAUGUUGAUGUCAGUAUCGAUAUGGGUACUCGUGUUGCAAUUCUUGGACCUAAUGCAGCCGGAAAGUCUACUCUGCUUAACCUUCUUGCAGGUGACUUGGUUCCUAGAGAGGGUGAAGUAUGGAGGAGUUAGCCAGAAGUUGAGGAUUGGUACGUAGGUAUUCACGGCACUUUGUGGACUUCUUGACAAUGUACGAAACCCCAGUUUCAUACCUUCUUCGACUUCAUCAUGACCAAGAGACAUGUAGCAAGCAGGAGGCUGUGCGUGCAGAGUUUGGAAAGUAUGGACUCGCUAGCCACAACCAUAAUAUUCCUAUUGCAAAAUUAUCCGGAGGACAGAAAGCUCGAGUUGUCUUCACAUCAAUAUCCAUGUUAAAACCCCACAUUCUACUUUUACGAGGGAUCAUUUAGAUAUGCAAAGCAUUGAUGCAUUGGCUGAGAAUUCACCAGUGGGGUUGUUCUGGUCAGUCAUAACUCAAGACUUAUAUCUAGUGUGUGCAAGGAUGAAGAUGGUACUCGAUUAUGGAUAAUAGAAAGCUAAGACCCGACAAUUAAGAUCUUGUUUAUGAAGUAG